rnacentral:rRNA from 1 species
UACGUAGGGGGCAAGCGUUGUCCGGAAUCAUUGGGCGUAAAGCGCGUGUAGGCGGCCCGAUAAGUCCGCUGUGAAAGUCCAGGGCUCAACCCUGGAAUGCCGGUGGAUACUGUCGGGCUCGAGUCCGGAAGAGGCGAGUGGAAUUCCUGGUGUAGCGGUGAAAUGCGCAGAUAUCAGGAGGAACACCAAUUGCGAAGGCAGCUCGCUGGGACGUUACUGACGCUGAGGCACGAAAGCGUGGGGAGCAAACAGG